GGUGUAAUGUGUGAGGCCAUAGCAGAAGUGCUCAUGGUGUGGCCCUGUCAGAGUCCAACAAAUCUGUGAAUUCUGCU
rnacentral:ribozyme from 1 species